GAAAACUUGGAUAUUGUGGAGUAAGCUAUUUCGGUUCACACGAUGCGUACAUUUUUGUGCUUACACAACCUUUAGACGAGUCUGUCCUGGCAGAGUUGGAUUAUGAUAUGAAUGUCCUUGGGGCGGAAAACAAACUGAUUUGGGUAUUAAGGAACAAGAUGAAAUGGAGACUUCUCAAUCCGUGUAAAUACUUGAAGACAUACCACAACCACUGUGUUGGUAUACAUGGUAGUGUAAGACCACGAAUAGAUGAGGAAAUCGAUGGGAAAGAUGGUGGGG